ensembl:lncRNA
AUGAUUGUGGUUUUGCUGUUCGUCAUCGCUGGACUCUUUUCUCCGUGCUCUUUCCUCACAUCAGGUGGAAACGGCAUGAAUGUAUAUUACUGCGACACUGAAAACUGUGUCAAUGAUGUAAAGCGUGUUUACUGUGAAGAUCUAGAGCUCCUGGGUUUCAAAUUGUCAGAGAUUUCAAAUUGUUCCUACGGUCCGCUUCCACCCAAUACCAUCUGCCAACACAGAGGCCACUUGUUUGUCUCCACCUUCUUAAAGUCCUGUGAAUUUGAAGGGGACACUGACUAUAUAGAGACCAAAAAUUGUACAGACUGCUCUUUUUUAAAUAGAGCUACCACACCGGCAGUCACCCCAAGCACUGUGGAAACAUCUUCGCAGCCCAAUUCCAAACUUCUAGGUGUCGUGCCCGCAGUAGCCUGUUCUACAGGUGUGGUACUGCUGUUAGCGGGUUUCUUUUACAGAAAAGCAAAAAAUCAGCAACAACAAAGACAGACUCAAACCAGUCCUGGGUUGCAGAAUGACAGCUCAUUAGUCUAAUGCCUUGGAUCUAACAUCAUACUCCUUGUUCGAGGCCAGGGCAUGCCUCCACUAAGGGUCCUUCCUGCUACCCAAGCCUACUGUGAGGGACAACUGUAGCCAUGCCGGCUCGGACGUCGUCUUGAUUAAGGUCUGCAUGAGGUGUUGAAGAACCAGAAGAGUUUACAUAAGCAGACAGCAUCAUUCUGAUGCUCGCACUUUUGGCUAGUACUUAAAUAGGGCUUUUCCAAGUGAUGGCAACAUCAAGAAGAAGGAAUGCUCAAUAGCAGAAUAAGCUGUUUAGUACUACCUGAAAGAAUUUGCCAAGUUUUUCAUGGGGGAAAUCCAAAAAUGUAUUUUCCUCACAAAUGUGACACAUUUAUGUGGAAAUACACAGGCUUUCCAACAUGGAAGUACAAAGAAGGAUUGUUACAACCAACUUUAUAUUAUCUGUAGAUGUAUUAUUAUGUGUGUAAAAAGAAAAUAAUCAUAUUUCUAACCAAAAUGGUUUUCCCUCUUUAAAAUUGUUUAUUUAUUCUUCUUCUCAUUAUGUUCUCUAUGAGACUGGCUGUUGUCAGGGCCCAUUUGUGCCCCUUUACAUACUUUUUUUUUAAUCCAGUGGUGCACUGAAUGAGAAGCAGGAAAGGAAGUGUACAUUUGAUUCAAAGAAAUGGGAUGUAGUCUAUAUUUACAGCUAUAUGCAGUAAACUUUGUUAUUAGAGACAAGGACAUUUAGUUAUUUCUGAACAUGUGUAAGGCUGUCAAACAGUAAUUGUUUUGGCCUUUUCUGAGAAGAAAACAGUUCUUUAUAGCACCUAAAAGUAUCACUACAGAAAUAUGCAUUGGUGGAUUUCUUUACAGAGAAGUGGGUGAAAAUUCCUCCAGAGCUGUGUGCAAACUUAUGCUUUUCAGCAAGGAUUCCUCCAUCAUGUAUCACAUCAGUGGUUCCCAAACUUUUUUUUUGCUAGUUUGGGCACAAACACAUCCUUCAACCACACACACCCAUUUUUGUUUUUCAAACUCCAUUGCAGUUUAUUUCACACCUCAAACCUUUUGUAAACAGUGAAACACAGAAAAGUAAACUGUAAUAAAUUACAGCUUGCAAUAAUAAACCACUAAACAAACCAUCUUUAUGGUGAAAUUAUUUUACGUAUAGUUGUUGUUGUUUUUUUACUGUGUAAGAAUAUUCAACCAUGCUAUCAAUACAUUUUUCAAAAAAUGUCUCUCUGUGCAAAAUGAGUUUAAAAACAUAAACAACUGUGGGAUACUGUUUGUCAGUGAUUUGAACCAGGAAAACAAACUGUGGCAGGAUCAGCCUGAUAUUAUUUGUAUCCCACUGUAACUUUACUGUAUAAAGAGCUAACAUCGCCAAAAUUUCAUUAUAAGAAGUGUUUGUGAAUUAAAAAUCAAGAAUGUGGGAUACUGUUUGUCCGUGAUUUGAACAGUCCAGCGCAUGCUCCUGACGCAGGGGAAACAAAUUCUGUCGGGGAGACCAACCUUGGCAGCACCAUUGUGCAGG